AAGUUAAAGUACAACAUUACAUUACUUUUCCAUUUGGAUCCUGUGCUUUUCUCUGUCCUUGGAGCUCUGGUUCCUCACCACCUGCACCUCUUUACCACCUGCAAUCUAUCAACAGCAAUCAGCUAGGUGAUACUCUUCACCAGCACAGCCCUCAACUCACCACCAGUUUGUCAGCUACCUCAUGACGUUCAGUCGUCAAGACCUACAGCUCAAACUUCUGGACGCCAUCUUCUAUGGAUAACAUAAACUUAAGUUUGGAACCUCUCUCGGCUACCUUCCCCGGAGCCUCAUGGCUUUGACCUUCAAGUAAGGCCAUAACCACAGAACCCAUCUUAUCCACAAAAAAGUUUGCUAAGAUCUUGUCACUGUGUCUUGUUGAGGCUGUUUUUGGGUUCACUCCCACAUACUGGUCCUCAGACCCUUGUGACAAUUACAAGCUCAGAGCAUUGUUGCUAAAGUACAUUAGGUCAAUCAAAAAAAACAAAA